AUUGAACGCUGGCGGAAUGCUUUACACAUGCAAGUCGAACGGUAAGGCCCUUCGGGGUACACGAGUGGCGAACGGGUGAGUAACACGUGGGUGAUCUGCCCUGCACUUCGGGAUAAGCCUGGGAAGCUGGGUCUAAUACCGGAUAGGACUCCUGGCUUCAUGGUUGGGGGUGGAAAGCUUUUGCGGUGUGGGAUGGGCACGCGGCCUAUCAGCUUGUUGGUGGGGUAAUGGCCUACCAAGGCGACGACGGGUAGCCGGCCGGAGAGGGUGACCGGUCACAAGGGGACUGCGAUACGGCCCAGACUCCUACGGGAGGCAGCGGUGGGGAAUAUUGCACAAUGGGCGCAAGCCUGAUGCAGCGACGCCGCGUGAGGGAUGACGGCCUUCGGGUUGUAAACCUCUUUCAGCUAUGACGAAGCGCAAGUGACGGUAGUAGCAGAAGAAGGACCGGCCAACUACGUGCCAGCAGCCGCAGUAA
rnacentral:rRNA from 1 species